rnacentral:rRNA from 1 species
GACGAACGCUGGCGGCGUGCUUAACACAUGCAAGUCGAACGGAAAGGCCCUGCUUUUGUGGGGUGCUCGAGUGGCGAACGGGUGAGUAACACGUGAGUAACCUGCCCUUGACUUUGGGAUAACUUCAGGAAACUGGGGCUAAUACCGGAUAGGAGCUCCUGCUGCAUGGUGGGGGUUGGAAAGUUUCGGCGGUUGGGGCUGGACUCGCGGCUUAUCAGCUUGUUGGUGGGGUAGUGGCUUACCAAGGGUUUGACGGGUAGCCGGCCUGAGAGGGUGACCACCCUCCAUGCUACUACGAUAGGGACCAGAAUGCUAUGGGAGGCAGUAGGGGGAAAUUUUACGCAGUGAGGGGAAGCGUGAUGCAGAGACGCCGCGUGCGGAAUGACCGCCUUCGGGUUGUAAACCGAUUUCGCCUGUGACGAAGCGUGAGUGACGGUAAUGGGUAAAGAAGCACCGGCUAACUACGUG